rnacentral:rRNA from 1 species
CUGCAUUCGAUACUGCCCGGCUAGAGUAUGGGAGAGGGAAGCGGAAUUUCCGGUGUAGCGGUGAAAUGCGUAGAUAUCGGAAGGAACACCAAUGGCGAAGGCAGCUUCCUGGCCCAAUACUGACGCUCAGGUGCGAAAGCGUGGGGAUCAAACAGGAUUAGAUACCCUGGUAGUCCACGCUGUAAACGAUGAGAACUAGAUGUUGGGAGGGUUUUGCCUCUCAGUGUCGCAGCUAACGCGCUAAGUUCUCCGCCUGGGGAGUGCGGCCGCAAGGUUGAAACUCAAAGGAAUUGACGGGGACCCGCACAAGCGGUGGAGCAUGUGGUUCAAUUCGAUGCAACGCGAAGAACCUUACCUGGUCUUGACAUCCCAGGAACCCUGCAGAGAUGCGGGGGUGCCUU